GACGAACGCUGGCGGCGUGCUUAACACAUGCAAGUCGAACGGAAAGGCCCUGCUUUUGUGGGGUGCUCGAGUGGCGAACGGGUGAGUAACACGUGAGUAACCUGCCCUUGACUUUGGGAUAACUUCAGGAAACUGGGGCUAAUACCGGAAAGGAGCUCCUGCUGCAUGGUGGGGGUUGGAAAGUUUCGGCGGUUGGGGAUGGACUCGCGGCUUAUCAGCUUGUUGGUGGGGUAGUGGCUUACCAAGGCUUUGACGGGUAGCCGGCCUGAGAGGGUGACCGGCCACAUUGGGACUGAGAUACGGCGCAGACUCCUACGGGAGGCAGCAGUGGGGAAUAUUGCACAAUGGGCGGAAGCCUGAUGCAGCAACGCCGCGUGCGGGAUGACGGCCUUCGGGUUGUAAACCGCUUUCGCCUGUGACGAAGCGUGAGUGACGGUAAUGGGUAAAGAAGCACCGGCUAACUACGUG
rnacentral:rRNA from 1 species